UCGAGGAGCGGGAAGGCUUCGGGCAGAGCGCGGACCCUGUGCCCCUCUUCCCUUCUCAUCACUCCGGUGGGAAAGAGCCACGCUGGGGAAUGGGAUCACACCUGUUUUUCUUCCCUAUACGUAUUUUCAUUUUUUUCGUACACACAGCAGUAAGGGGAAUCCUUCCGAAGGACGGAAAGGUGGAGGCAGCCCUAGCCCCCUCUGUGGUUUUGCAGUUUAUUUUUGGUUGCGGGAAAGUGAAGGUGCUCCCAACAGAGCCCGGGAGGCCAAACAGCAAAGCUCAGUGCAAAGGGAUCCACUUGAGCUACCACCUCUGAGUCAUGCAGCUGCUAUUAAUACCCCUCGCCCUCUGGCUGGCUGAUAAAGAAAGGUUGGGGGAAGAACGAAGAGGAAUUUUCAAUUAAAGCUGCUUCCAAAAGAAUAACAAGAACAUUUUAUGAUGAAUUGGAGGUGGGGAGAAGGGGAGGAAGAGGAGAGCAGCCUGGCAAGAUAGAAGGAGUAUCUGUGGGAGCUUCACUAACUAAAUUGUUUUAGAUUUGUGUGGACAGAAUUUGAAGAACGUGCCCAUAAACAGGCAUUUCUCUUGCAGUCAUUGCCACAAUCUGAACGUUUCAGUGUAUUGAAGCAAUAAUAGGAAGGACAUGGAGCUGCUGAAGAAAGUCCAGAGGAGGGCCACAAAGAUGAUCCAUGGGCUGGAGCACCUCUGCUAUGAAGACAGAAUGGGAGAGUUGGGGCUGUUCAGCCUGAAGAAGAGAAGGCUCCAGGGAGACAUUACAGCAGCCUUCCAGUAUCUGAGGGAGCCUACAGGAAAGCUGGGGAGGGGCUUUUCACCAGGAUGUGUAGUGAUGGGAUGAGGGGUGAUGGUUUUAAGCUGGAAGAGGGAACCUUUAGGUUAGACAUUAGGAAGAACUUCUUUAGUGUGAGUGUGGUGAGGCACUGGCAUAGGUUGCCAUGGGGGGUUGUGGAUGUCCCCUCCCUGGAAGUGUUCAAGGCCAGGUUGGAGGGGGCUCUGAGCAACCUGAUGUAGUGGGAGAUGUCCCUGCCCAUGCAGAGAGGUUGGAACUAGAUGAUCUUUACAGUCCCUUCCAACCCAAACCGUUCUAUGAUUCUGUGAUAUAUUACCUUAACGGACAUCAGUCAUAUUUCUUUUUCCAACAAGUACAUUAGAUUGCCUUUUAAAGUCUUUGCUAGAAACAAAUGGAAAUAAAAUAAAUUUGUGGUCAUGAGAUGAACUCAAAUCACAGAUAUUUUAAAUAUUUGAGAAAAUUAGAAUAAAAGUCCAAAGUAGUUUUUAUGUCUUUUAAAAUCUGUCUGUCAUUUAAAAUUAAAUGUAUCUCAUCUCAAAAAGGAUAUUUCAUGCAUUAUUAAAAUACCAGAUUUCAACAAAAAAUAUAAGGGUUCCAGCAGCAA